GUGCUUCAGGACUUUCCAGAAAACUUCUUCAAUUCUACCGGAUGUCCUCAACAUCAAAUCAAAUGAGUAAACAAAUCAAGAUGGCCCGCAAGCAUGUUGUCUUCCUCAAUACAUAUCACACUUCCGAUCACCAUCCUCUACAAACAAUAUUCAUGUUUAGCUUGUAAUCACUUGAAAAACGAAAAACUCAUUAACGUUAUGAUUAAACACCAAUGAAGAAUUCUUUAACAUGAUUGUAGUAGAUCUAUGUUGGCUCAAAAGAUGAUUUUCUGGUUCAUUUUCAAGUUUAGCACUCUCAAAGCUUUCACCAGAAGCUACAUAAUCGAAAUUCAAGAUGAAGUUGAAGUUAAUGAGCUUUUCUAUGCGAAGUAAAAGAUGAUUCAAAGGUAUUUCUUGCUUUUUCUCUACAAAGCUGAGACAAAACUUGAUUAAUUUUUAUUAACUUUUGUUCAAAUAAAAUUUUACAAUAGAAUGAGCCUAGUACAAGACUAAUACCAGCAUUAGCAAAUUUAUUAUUUUUAUAUUGGUCAAAUAAAAUCAAUAAAAAAAGAUGGUUACAUGUAGUUUGAAGCUUUGUUGUAUUAACUCUUUGCUUCUAAUUAUUAUGUGAUUUAUUUGCCUGACCUUUUGAAAACACAAGUCAUAAAAUCAUAGUCAAUGCAAGCUUAACAUAGUCAAUGCAAGCUUAACAUGUCACAUACAUAUACCAUGUGAGCUAUAACAUGGUAUUGAGUGACCAUCCCAUAUGGAAAAGAGAUGUCCUUACUUGGAAAGGUAAGAACCAUGAGUUAAGUUAAAGUAUAUCCACUAGCUAUGUCACUUAGCACAAGCUAUGGGGCACACAGUUAGGGACAAAGUGAUUGCUACUAGAGACCUGACCUAUACUAAUGGUAAAAACAUCAUUUUGAAUAUCCUCCGAGUGCUUAACAAAAAUACCACGGAAUGGUCAUCAAUCAUAUUUAUUUCAUUAUCCAUGGAAAGACACAAUUAAGCAACCAAUCCAAGCUAAUGUUAUUUAUAAUGGGUAGUUUUAAUAAGUAAAUUACUUAUACAGGUCUUAGAAUAGGGUUUAAAACUACAUAACUUAGAUUUUAAAUAAAAAAGGGGAAAGAAUAAAAUAUCCCUAACUUAAAAGAUGAUGCGUGACCUAUAUGGACCUCAAAACAGUCCGUAAAACUCUUCACUGGCUGUUUAGGGAGGUGUACAAAUCACCCCGAAUUCCUAUCUGCCUUAAACUGCUAGGCCACUUCCCUUAAAUGGGCAAUGAUGCUCUAAACGGAACCUUUAGAGUUCCCUGAAGGGUUUAUGUUUCAUUUUUGAUUGAUGACUUGCUUGUUCGCUCAAUAUAACCUUUUUGAAAGCCCGAUGUGUUACAACAUCUCCUCCUUGGGAGCUUUCAUCAUUGAAUGGAACUUAAGAUAACAUGAAAAGUUUAAGAGAGAAACUAACAACCAAACAUGAAUGCAACUUUAUCAAAAUGCACAUAAACAAGGAGGAACAUUUACCCCAAGCUAAAUAAUAGUCAAAACAUCAUUUCAUAAGGCAUAGUUGCAAAUCAUACACAAUUGCACAUAAUCAGUGUAUGGCACAUAAUCAUGAAGUACUAAAUCAAGCUAAAUCAUAUCCUAAACAAUCAACUUUUUUAUGAGCAUGCACACAUGAGUAAACAUGGGAAUGACUAAAACACAAGAACCCUAAAGAAAUAAUCAUGAGGGCUAAAUGCCUCAAGCUAAAGUAGGAGCGGAGGGAAAGAGAUGAGGAUAUAGAGACAUUAUAUCAGUCUCUACCUUUUAAAUAGAACCCUCAAUCAUUUGUUUCCUCCACAACACUUUUACCGUUGCUGCCUCUUUGUUUCUCAACUCUCCAACUUGACGGUCUAAAAUCUCAAUUGGAACCUCUUCACAAGAAAGACUUUCAUUUAUAUCAAGAUUCUCUAAUCGUACAUUGGAUGUCGGAUAUCCAACAAACUUCUUAAAUAUACCGAUGCUAAGUCAUUACGAAAAUCAAGUUCAUAAGAAACUUUACCAGUACGUCUCAAAAUCCGAAAUGGGCUUACGAAUCGGGGACUAAGAUUUCUCUUUUCCAAACCUUAUGACACCCUUCAUAGGUAUAUUUAAUUAAACCAUCAUCAAAUCAAACUCCAGAUCUCUUCUUUUAACAUUGGCAUAUGACUUUUGUCAACUCUGAGCUGUUUUCAAUCUUUCUCUAAUAAGACGAACUUUCUCCAUAGUCUCAUGUACAACCUGGGACCACUUAAAGCAACCUCACCAACUUUAAACAAAACCUAUUAAAGAUCUAUACUUGCCAUAAUGAGCCUAAAAUAGAGCCAUACCAAUGUUUCAAUAAUAGCUUAUUAUAACCAAACUCAAUCAAAGGAAAAUGAUCAUCUCCAUUAUCCAUUAAAUCAAUUACAUAAGAUCUCAACUUUUUAUAAAGUUAACUCAAGGCAUUGACCAUUAAUUUGGCUUUGCCCGGGUGAUAGAAGACAAUCAUAUCAUAAAGCUUCAAGAAUAGUCAUCUACGUUAGUGAAUAUUGAGUUCCUUUGAUUGAACACAUAUGAAAACUUCUGUGGUUGGCAAAGUCAUCAAUAUGAACUCCAUACAGAUAAUGCCUCCAAAUCUUUAAGGCAAAAACAAUUGUCGCUAGUUCCAGAUCAUGGACAAGAUAGUUUUUUUCAUGAAUAAUAAGUUUCCUUGAAGCAUUAGAAAUAACUUUCACAUUUUACAUAAGAACACAUCCUAAUCCAGUACUUAAAGCAUCAUAACAAAAACAAACCCACUAAAGCCUUUUGGUAAAUUAUACAUUGGAUUAGAGGCAAGUAUACCUUUCAAUUCUUGAUAACUCUUUUCACAUGCUUCUGACCAUAAAAAAUUUACUUUAUUUUUGAUUGAUGCAGUCAAUAAAGAUGCAAUCAAAUAAAAUCCUUCAAAAAACCCUCUAUAGUAUCCGUCCAAACCCACAAAGUUGCGAAUAUCUAAAGGGCAUAAAGGUCUUAGAUCAACUCUUAACCGCAUCACUCUUCUUAGGAUCUAUCUCAAUAUCCUUGCCGGAAAUAAUGUAACCAAGAAAAGCCAUAGAUCUCAACCAAAAGUAACAUUUACUAAAUUUUGCAAUAGUGGUUGGUCCCUGAGAACUUGCAACACAAUACUCAAGUGAUCGAUAUGCCCAUACUAACUCUACAAGUAAAUCAAGAUAUCAAUCAUAAAAACAACGGUAUUGUAUAAACACUCAUACCGAGUUCUAAAAUCCAUAUUUUGAAUACUAUGUUCCUUCACCCUCAAUUGGUGAUAAACUGACCGGUGGUCCAUCUUUGAAAAGUAGUCGCUCCUUGGAUUGAUCCAAAAAUUCAUCUAUUCAUGGAAGAUGAUACAUAUUUUUAAUAGUAACCUUGUUUAAUUGGCAGGGAAUAAACCAUCCUUAUUAUGAACAAACAAGACUUGAAAACCAAAUGGAGAGAUACUCAGUUGGAUGAAAUCCUGAUCCAGAAAAUCUUUCAGUUGUUCCUUUUCAAUCCUUAAUUUUUGUCAAAUUCAUGCGGUAAGGAGAAACAGAAACAAUCGGCAUAUAUGGGAGAAGGUUAAACCAAAGUCUAUUUUCCUUUCGAUAGGAAUACAAUGUAAAUAAAUGGGAAACACUUCUGGAAACUAAUUUGAAAUGGGGACCGACUCAAGAAUUCUGAACAAGAUGAUAUAUACAGGUCUUAGACAUUAUUUUUCUAGCUAUAAGAAAGAAAAAAACUUUCUCAUAGGCAUAGAAUUCAUACUUAGAAUACAAUCAAAAUCUAACAUAUCAAGCUCUACAAUAUCAAUAUGAGUGUUUCUAUGGGAUAAGGAAAUGGGAUAAUUUCUAUAGACUCUCUUAGCCACAAUAGAUUCACCAAUAGGAGUAGAGACAAAAAAAAGGGUCUAAUAACACAUAUGAAGAAACAUCAAAUCUUAUAGGCACAUAUGGCGUCACAAAAUACAGGGUAGCACCAGGAUCAAAUAACACAUAAACAUCAAGAUGAAAGACUUUCAACAUAUUGGUAACCAUAUCAGAAGCACGCUCUUGCUCCUGUCGAGUUUGAAGUGUAUAAAAUAUGUUUUUCCUUGGAGAACUUGAACCCGAACCACUAGGAGAAGCUUACCUACCAUAUCUUCCCUUAGUAGAAAGUGACGAACAAUAUCUUAUGUUAUGGCCCCUCUUACUACAACUAAAACAACCAUCUGUAUUGGCAAUUACCAUAUUUUAUCUUCCACACUUAGUACAAGUUGACAAAGAAGAUCUACCACCAUUCCCUCUUGAGGCUUAGAGUUAGACACCCUAUCUUUGUUGAACUUUUGAAUCGAAGCAUUAAAGAAACCUUGACCGAAACACUUUUGUCAUAAUCUAGAACAACCAUUUCCAUCGACCUUAUAUGUGAAAAGUCACCAUUACCGAUCUUUUCCCUCUUUGCCUCCCUAGAUAUUUCCUUAACAUUUCUUUUUCUAUUUAUUGAGAAUGUGUCAUUAAAUGAAAGAUAUACAUUCCCUUCAUAAGCAUGGUGGUACGAUAUUCAUUAGCCACCAUUUUGGACACACCUGAACAAACUCAUCCUUGCCCUAGAGUCGAGAAGCAUAGAAUGAACAUUUUGGACAAUUGUGUAAAUUUUAAAGAAUAUUCUUUCACACUCAUAUUUACUUAGAAAAGGUAAAUGAACUCAAGAAACUUUUGCCUCCAUCAUCUUAAGAGGAAAUAAUCUAUUAAGAAAAGAAACCUUAAACUUCUCCUAAUGAAGAGGACCCACAUCUACCGCCUACUCUUCCUUCUAUUGUUCAAAUUAAACUUUAUCAACACCCUUAAGUUGAUAAGAGCCUAAUUCUGCCUUUUCCACCAGUGUUACUCCCAUGAUCUUCAAAACGUUAUGUUACUCAUGAAUGUACUAUUGAGGAUCCUCAUCAACCUUGGAAUCAUGAAACUCCAGGGGAUUCAUUCUAGUGAAAUCCCUCACUCUAGUUUCCGCCAUACCCACAUUUGGGUUUUUGGGGACCACAACCUCCCUAUUGGCUUGAGCCGUCAUAACUGGAUCUAACACUUGAAAAGUGGUUCAAAAUUCUAUAUUGGUAACUUUUUUGGUAAAAAGGUUUACUGGAACUUUAAGAUCUUCUUGUUUCAUAUUCUCACCCAUAUUCCUUCUACCUCUUUGAGGGGCCAUAUCCUAAAAAUCAUCAGAUUAGGAUUAUAAGAGAGACAUAAAGAGUUAUACUCUAGCGCAUGACUUUAAAAUGCUGUUCGAAGUGGAGUUUCCUAAACAUCUUAUAGCUUCAUAUUCAUAAAUAUAGUGCGAUUCACAUUUAUUAAUAAGAAUCCACUUGAUGUGGCUUGUUACAAAACCUAGGAUCUUUCUAAACUUUUUGCUCUGAAUACAAAGUUUGUCAUGCCAAAGUGUACCCUAGGUGUAAAAUGACGCACACAACCUUGAAAGGCCUCACACAAGCCAUUUAACAUACAUCAUACAAGAUAAGAAACAUUUAUUUUUAAAAAAAUAGUCCUAUAUCGUAAAAGAGUUUCACAAGCUGAGAGUCUUACAUAGUCUAAACAAGUCAUCUAUUACAUCAAAAGGAAGUGGUUGAGAUGUGACGGAUACACCAUAAAAAAAUUCUGGAAACAAAAAUGACAGAAAGCUAUACAAGUGUACUAAGGAACAAGAAAAUAAGGUUUCAUUUUAACAUCUUGAAUUCACCAUAGCCAUUGGGACUUAAUCACUAAGCUAUGUUGGUAUUCACUUAUGGAGUCCUUUCUUUUAUAAGGUUCCCAAGAUCUUCCAAUUUUACAAAGCUAAAUCACAAUUCAAAGUUAGGAUUUUAUUCAAUCUUCAUGGGCUCUUUUCAGUUAUGAGUCAACUAGUUGUUUUCUAUAUUCUAAUUAAAAAAUAAGUAAUUACAUGAUUUUUAUUUGAAUAUAUAUGGACUCAUGCAUAAUCUAUACUUUUAGACUAUGAAUACAUGAUUAAGCUUAUGAAUUAUGAAGGAUGAAUUUAUGAAGACAUGUAUAUUUUAAUGAAGUUGAUGUAAAUGAUUUGAGAAUUCUUUUAGAGUAAAGUAUAAAUGUUUUUAUUGUGAAUGAUAUUUCUCACAUACUAAUAAGAUCAUGAUUUUGAAAGAUUUUCUCACAAAAGGAUUCACAAGAUUGAAAGGUUUUCUCACCUAAAUUAAAUUAUGUUACGGAGCUAUUGUAAAUUACUUUAGCUUCGAUUAUUUUCUUAAUUGUGUCAUUCCAUGGAUAAUGAAAUAAAUCUGAUUAAUGACCAUCCCUUGGAUUUUUGCUUAGUACAGAGAGGAUAUAGAUAUGGAUGUUCUCCCGCUAGUAGAGUUUGUCUCACCAAUAGCAAUCUCCUUAUUAGAGAGGAUUCUACGGAUGAACUUGGAGGGAAAUUUAGAAUUUAGGUGAAUAAUUUAGAAUGUGUAGUUUUAGUACAUAAAUCACUUAUAUAGGGCUUAUAAUAGGGGUUAAAAUGACAUAGAUUAGGUAUUAAACACAUAAGAUAAAUAGUAAAAUAGCUCUAACCUAAAAGUUAAUGGGUGACCAAUAUGAACUUCUAAAUGGUCCGUACAACUCUUCACUAGCCAAUUAGGGAUCCAUACAGACAACCCCGAAUUCUUGGCUGCCUUAAAUGGCAAGGCCACUUCUCCUAAACAGAUAGUGAUGCCGUAAAUGGCCCAUUUAGGGUUCUAUAAAGGGUUCAUGGUCCAUUUUAGGUUCAUGGACUUGACCUAAGCUCACUUUAGACUUUUUCAAAGCCUGGUGUUUUAUAUCAACUUUAAAUCCUUUGUUUUAGAUCUGAUAACAAAGAACUAUACCUUCUUUCACCAUGAAGUGAUACUUCUUUCUUCACACCAUUUUAGUGAAUCACCUAUAUGGACCAAGCAAUCAUCGAAUGAUUCACCUACAACAUAAAAGUGGUCGAUGAAUACCUCAAUAGUGUCUCCCACCUUGAUUGAGAAGAUGGACAUCAUGAAAAGUUGGGAAAUUCACCUAAUGUUCUAAAAAUGGUUUGGGUGAUUACUUAAGGGUAUUUUUAAGUAGUUUUAUAAGUAUAUAACCCCAAGUCAAUUCAUUAUUCAAAAAUCAAACCCAAAACCCCAAAGAAGAACUCUGUAGAACUCCAUUGGAGCUUGAAGCAAGGUGGGAGCUUGGAUCUUGAUUUCUCCAUCAAUUCUCAUUCAAUUCGUGUCUAAUCAUCAAUCAAGGUUUCGUUCGUUGAAGGACUUUUGGAGACGACUUUGAAGAAGACUUGAAAUUCUUAAUCAUUCAAGGUUGGUAGGUCCUCACUUUCCCAGGGAAAUACCACUAUCAAGCUAUGAAGUUU